CCCAACGGGCGUCACUUCCCGUGGAGCCUUCUCUUUCCGGUUGAGCCGGCGGCGGCACGGCGAGCAACGGCGCCUGGCAGUACAGAGAUCGUUUUAACUUUUACAACAAUCCUCUAUCAUCACGUCCGACAAACCAACGAAGGAGCGCUUCGCUAGUACGGCUAUUGCUCGCGCACAGCCGUCGCCUGUUUUAUAAUAAUUAACCCUCGCCCCGAAGAGCGGCGCACGUGGCAGUCCCGUGCGCCGUGGUCGCGACUGGGCAAAAGAGCGGCGCAGAAAUGGACAGCCGUGGUCACUCUACUGCUGGAUGGAGGCCUCCCCCACUCCCUUCUCCCUCCCGCCUGCACACGCAGCCGAUGCCGUCGAUGCGUCUCCUCGGCGAAGAAGUCGCGUCACGCUCCGAAAGGGGGGCAGCUCCUUGAGCAGUUAAGGAAAGCCUGCGUUGCUGAAUACGCCUGCUGUGAUGUAUCCUGUGAGGGGUGUUGGGUUUGCAUUUUGCCCACCACAAGAUCAUCGUGGCCUUGGCAGCCCAGAGUGGAAGAACGCAAAGCUAAAUGAUGAAGGAGAGCGACUGGAUAAUUUGAAGGAGCUGCACACAGGGAGAUGAGUUCCCAUGAGCCGCUUGGUGAAUUUGUACCGGCUGAACCUGGCAUGGGGUCUUGAGUCCUCUGAAGCCAGGUGGAGCUUGCAAGGAUGAAGGAGAGCCACCGGAGGAUUUGAAGGAGCUCCACACAGAGCGCGGAGUUCCCAUGAGCCGCUUGGUGAAUUUGUACCGGCUGAAUCUGGCACCUGAUCUUGAGUCCUCUGAAGCCAGGUGGACCUUGCAAGGAUGAAGGAGAGCGGCUGGAGGAUUUGAAGGAGCUCCACACAGGGAGAGGAGUUCCCAUGAGCCACUUGGUGAAUUUGUACCUGCUGAACCUGAAAUGUGAUCUUCAGUCCUCUGAAACUUUGCAAGGAGAGGCACCGGAGGAUUUGAAGGGGCUCCACACAGAGCGAAGAGUUCCCACGAGCCGCUGGGUGAAUUUGUACCGGCUGAACCUGGCAUGGGGUCUUGAGUCCUCUGAAGCCAGGUGGAGCUUGCUGCAUGGUGAGGCAUGGGCGAUUCAGAGUGAGCACUGCGGAGCGUUGAGCACCACUGGCACGACAAUGAUGACUCUUAAGCCGUUUACCCAAUUGAAGGCCGUUGAAGUGGCCGUGAAACCGCUUUACUUGAACUGAGGUCCCAGUGUGCGAGCCCGAGUGUCGUUUUUCUAAAAAUCCUUUAGUCAUCACUUCAAUCACCUCUGUCCCUGUUCAAAAUACCAUUGGGUGGUUCUCAUGUCUUGUUAAUUGUCACAUGCCUGUGGUGGAAGUUCCACAUUUCUAUGCAGGGGGUGGACAUUUAGUGAUGAGUUCACGUGCAGAAGUUAGAUGCAUGGUAGCAGCAUUGGACCCUGAAAGAUUUUCAUGCACCUCCAAUUAGGACGGUUGGCUACGUACGGUGCAAAAUAAGUUUAACAUACAAAGAUGCCGACAGUGUGCGGAGGCCUUCCAGCACUUGCUGAUAUGUUUGGAUAACGUAGGGUAAUCUGCCUUGGUUAGUGUUGAACUUUACAGUGAUUUAACAAUUACAAAUAUUAAACUUAACAGAGGUGGUUGGGACGUAUGACAUAAUUCUUCACAUUUGUCAUCGAAACCAACCUCCAUAAUGAUUACCUUGAUGACGCUAUUUAGCAGUAGGAGAAUAUGGUUAUCGAACACAAUGAUGAGUACAGGCUUGAUUGAUUGCUUGUUGCCCAUCAGGAUGAAGGAGAGUGACCGGAUGAUUUGAAGGAACUCCACACAGAGCAAGGAGUUCCCAUGAAGCCGUCUUCUGAAACUUUGCAAGGAUGGAGAGCGACCGGAGAAUUUGAAGGAGCUCCGCACAGCGAAGGAGUUCCCAUGAGCCGGUGAGCGCUGUUCAGAGGCACGAGGUGGGGACGCUGGGAUUGUUUACAAGCUUGGUGAAUUUGUACCGGCUGAACCUGGCAUGGGGUCUUGAGGACGAGGAAUCCUCUGAAGCCCGGUGGACCUUUCAAGUUCAUUGCCUGACCACAUCGGCCAAGUCCAGGCAGUAGCCAGAGUUUGGGUAGCAAGGCCAAUGGCAUCGCACCACGCGGACGCAGGAGAUGGCGCCGCCCCGCUUCCCACCAGCGACGCGGCCCACCGAGCGCCACCCCACGACUCGCGCUCGACUGGACCGUCUCAAGCCGACUCGGAUGCCGCUCCGACAAACGAGGUUGCCGCAGACGACGCGUCGGCGAAGCGAUGGCCACGGAAAGCGCGUCGGCCAGGGCCGUGGGGUUGCCAGGCGGCGGCAGCAGCAGCGAAGGCGCCGACGGGGGAAGCGUGUGCGGACGGUGCUUGGGAGGAAUUUGCCAGAUCGACGCCAAGUCCCGGACGCGGGUGGCUCACGGGAACGUGCGAGCGCUCGACGAGGAAGACAAGGUGGUGACACUGGUCGGCCAGCUGAGGCGCUACAACGUCAUGAUCUGCGGGGUCUGCAACACAAAACUGGCCGACUCGGGCAGCACUGAGAUAGAGGAUUACACCCUCUGGUGCAGCGGGUCCAAGGAUGGACGGCUCCAGCUCGGGGUCGGCAUUGCCGUCAGCAAUCGAAUGGAGAAGCACGUAAGCAAGUUCGAGCUGGUGGACGAGCGGAUCGUCUUGCUGAGGUUGAAAUUCAAGGUGUGCAACGUGACGGUCAUCGAGGCCUACGCGCCGAGCGAGCCUGCGAAGGAGGACUCCAGGAAGCGGUUCUACAACAAGCUGCAGGAGAUCUUGGAGUCGGUGCCCAAGCACGACGUCCUCCUGCUCCUCGGAGACUUUGGCGCGCAGGUGGGCACCAACUAUGAUUACUGGGGGGCACGUCCUGGGCCCGCACGGGAUGGGGCCCGAGGAUGCCAACGGAGUGCGUCUGCUCGAGUUCUGCAGCGGCAAUAAGCUCGUCGUCUGCAACACGCAGUUCCAGCAGAAGAACUCCCACGAGGCCACGUGGGUGUCGCCAGAGGACCAGAGGGAGAAGAUCGUUGAUUUUGUCAUCACCAGGGAGCAGCACGCAACGUCCGUUCUGGACGUCCGGCCGUACAGGUCCGCGGACAUCGGCUCGGACCACAAUCUCGUCUUGGCCGAGGUGAGGGUGAAGCUGUUUGGUAAGCGGCACAAGAAUGCGGGCAGGUACUCCAAUGUCCCCAAGUGGAAGGUUCCCAAGACGUGGCGGUACAACUACUGACGUGCUUUGGGGCAAUGAUAGAGGUUGCCGAGGCGUCUUUAAAUCCCAACGCUACAGUGUUGGUGUUGCAUGCAAUUUGGGCUCCCUCGUUACUGGGAAGCAUUGUUUUAGGAGGACGUGGCUUGCUGAUGAAGCUCGCUGAGGUUGAAACAAAGUCGGAAGUUGCCGUGUGAAUUAUUUGCCACCAAGACAUUUGGAACAACGUGUUCCAAAUGUAUGGGUACUCGUUGGCCGAUGAAUAAAAAUGUUGCACCCUGCCGACAAUUGAACACUAACCCUUUUUGCCGGUUGUACGUGUUGUUUACUUUGAAAAGUGUUAUUUAUUAAAGAUUAUAUUGUAAAAUGUUUUGUAUGUGUGAAAGUAAAUAUGGAGUACCACAAUUA